rnacentral:rRNA from 1 species
UACGUAGGUGGCGAGCGUUGUCCGGAUUUACUGGGCGUAAAGAGCGCGCAGGCGGUCGUAUAAGUCGCGUGUGAAAGCCCCCGGCUCAACUGGGGAGGGUCACGCGAUACUGUUCGACUCGAAGGCAGGAGAGGGAAGUGGAAUUCCCGGUGUAGUGGUGAAAUUCGUAGAUAUUAGGAAGAACACCAGUGGCGAAGGCGGCUCACUGGUCCGGUACUGACGCUGAGGUGCGAAAGCGUGGGGAGCAAACAGG